AUCGGGAGUGAUGGAAGAAGGAGGAGGCAGCAGUGAAUCACUUAUAAAUAACUUUGAAGCAGGACCCGGAGCCUAAAUUCCAGGAGGAUAAUGGUCAUCCACAGCCAAGAAGGAAAGACCUGAGACAUGGAAUCAGCGAUUGCAGCCCUUCAAUGUGAGUCAGCAGGCCCCAAGAAAGGAGAAUGCCUGCCACCUGGCCUUUAUUUGUCUGCAGCCACUCCAGCCGCUCCCUGUGCUGCAUUUGCCGUGUGUGAGUGCUGGCUUCCCAUUUCUUCCUGACAUUGUAGCAACGUGGUUUAUCCGUGAAGAGGUUUGAGAAUCAAGCUGGCUGGUUCUGAGACUUGCCAGGUCUUGCUUCUUUUGAUGGAGUGCUU
rnacentral:lncRNA from 1 species